rnacentral:piRNA from 1 species
UGGGUAGUUACCUGCUUGGAUAAUGCC